ensembl:lncRNA GALNT7-DT GALNT7 divergent transcript
AGGGGGACCGGCGGUCCGGGCGAGGCCUCGGCCGCGCAUCGCACCCCGGCUCCCCGCCGCCGGAGUUGAGGGGGAGGCGCGCUCUCCGUAAGAGCCGGAGGCGGGGCGCCAUCGCCCUCCCACUCCCCGGCGGGCGGGCCGGGGGAGCCCGGGGCUGCGAACACCCCCAGACGGGCGGCUGCGGGAGGGGAGGCUGGACCAAGGGGCCUGGUCCACCGGACCAGCGGUGGCGGCAUCGGCAUCUCGCCUCCUUCAGGCCUGCACGCGCCACAGGCCGCAGCCUGGACCAACCCCGCGUCCCCGGGCCGUGAGCGCUGCGGUCCCGGCCCCCCAGAGCGGGACGCCGGGCGGCCGCAGCCCCCCGGACCCGGCUCUCCGCCCGCUCCGCCCGCAGUCCCGGCGCGGAGAGCGGCCGCCCGAGCCGCUGCCGCGGCAGCGCGGGUGUCGGCGACGGAGCCCGGGGCGGGGAAGAGCGGAGGAAGGGGCGGCGAGGGGGCGGGCCGGCGGCGGCCAGGGAGGUCGGAGUGCGCGGGGCUCGGCACCCCCUCGGCCCGCGCUGCGCCAGCACCACCUGCGGAGCUGCGGUGCCCACGCCGUGCCGCGACCCCGCCGCCCCUGCUCCCUCCACACGCGGGCAAACAAAACAAGUUGCCGGUCGCUGCCGCCGGAGGGGGCCGGGCGGGUCACUCACCCUCAUCCUGCUCAGCGGGCUUGGGUCGUCCGGCCGCGGGGUCAGGGAAGACCAGAGGACCACUAGCCCCAGGAAGCUUCCCACCACCAGCAAACUGCGUGGUGAAUUUGUAACCGAAAGGCCCAGGUGAGAUGUGCAAAUAUCACUGGAUUGGAGGAGCUCACUUGGAAAGCCAGUAUUCCUCCUGAGCUAAUGAAAAGAAAGGCUGUCGUCUUAUGCCAAAAGCAAUACCAACCUUGUUCACGGGCUGAGAUCUAGAGUGUGUAAUUCACGAAGUAUGAAUCUGCUGGGUAAUGUGAUAUGAAAAGCGAAUGCACCAUUUCUUGGUGAUGAUUCAGGUCAGCGUUGGGACCCAGGAAUCUCCUGUUAAUCAGUACCCUGGUGAUUUUGAUCCAGAGACGGGGUCUAUUAUCUGGUCCUGUUGUCAAGGCUGGUCUCAAACUCCUGGCCUCCAGCGAUCCUCCCUUUUUGGCCUCCCAAGAUGCUGGUAUUACAGGCAUGAGCCACCAUGGUCCACCCGGACUCCUUUUCAUAGGAGACAGUUCCCUAGGCAGAGACUGGGCUUGAAACAGUUCCUCUAAAGAAGAGGGUAGAGACUAGAACUGAAUGAGAUGGACAUAGAGAUGGCCAAGAAAAGCAUCGUCCUCUGCCAAGUCAUGGGGUCAUGUGUGGUGGAUGGUGACAUGGUGUCCUCAGCUCAGAGUCCAGCUGGGGGCUCAGAAGCAAGAUAAAAAUGUGUAUGAAGGUGGAGCCUUGUCUAUCUAGUUCGUUAUUGUUAUCCGUGUCUGAUUGUUCAUGUUGGAAGGCAUACUUUCUGAACUCUUCUCAAGUGAUGAUAAAAUGGACUAGUUGAUAAAUCUUUCUGGUACAGGUUUUCAAAACUUCCAUCUAUCCACUGUGCUUUCAUGUUAAAGAAAGAAUGGAAACAUCAUCUCUAAAACAAGAUAAACAGCUCUGGGGCUGAGGAGGCCAGCCUGCUACUGGGUAGUUUUGAUAUCAGAAGUAUUUCAAAACCUCUCCCUUGUGGAGGAUGAGUUAUAUACCCACCCUGGGGCAUCAACAUGAAGCUGCUGCCCAGUGUGCCAUUGACGGAACGCUGCAGGUCGGACAGGCCGCUCCUGCUAAAGUGUAACUUAAGUUAUUCUCACAGAAGUACCAUCCCACAGAACCCACCCGGGGGACUGUGGUUCUACACUGACUCAGUGAUCAGAGUGGGGACAUUUUCUUAUCCUUCCAGAGACUGACAAGAGAGGGGACCUGAAGGUACCUUGAUCUCACAGCUGCAUCCUGAUACAUAUAUUUUUAAUACUGUGAUGGGAAUAAAUUACUCUGAGGCUCCCAAUAA